UAUACUUUGGUGUAAUGUGCACGUAAGAUUUUGAUUCUUAAAGAAGAAUUAGACUUCUAGGUAUAA
rnacentral:tRNA from 1 species